CAAGAUGGAGGAGUACACCAGGGAGCCUUGCCCCUGGCAAAUUGUGGAUGACGGUGUGGCCUUUACUAUGGGCACCAUAGGUGGUAUCUUUCAAGCCAUCAAAGGUUUUCGAAAUUCUCCAGUGGGAGUAAAUCACAGACUACGAGGAAGCUUGACAGCCAUUAAAACCAGGGCUCCACAGUUGGGAGGUAGCUUUGCAGUGUGGGGAGGACUGUUUUCUAUGAUUGACUGCAGUAUGGUUCAAGUGAGAGGAAAAGUAGACCCCUGGAACUCCAUCACAAGUGGAGCCUUGACAGGAGCCAUCCUGGCAGCAAGAAAUGGACCUGUGGCCAUGGUUGGGUCAGCUGCGAUGGGUGGCACUCUCCUGGCUUUAAUUGAAGGAGCUAGUAUCUUGUUGACAAGAUUUGCCUCUGCACAGUUUUCCAAUGGCCCUCAGUUUGCUGAAGACCUCUCCCAGUUGCCUUCAAGCCAAUUACCAUCCUCUCCUUUGGUGGACUACCGACAAUACCAGUAGGACUUCUUUCCCAGGGUUUCUCUAACUGGAUGAGCUGUAGGUCAAGAAGGAUUUUGGAAGAUCACAUUACAGUCUGUU